AUACAAACACACACACGCACAAACACAACACCCGUGUGUGUGUGUGUGUGUGUGUGUGUGUGUGUGU